rnacentral:rRNA from 1 species
AUUGUUCGCAAUGGGCGCAAGCCUGACGACGCAACGCCGCGUGGAGGAUGAAGAUCUUCGGGUCGUAAACUCCUGUCGAGUGGGAAGAACAGCUUCGGGGCUAACAUCCCUGGAGCCUGACGGUACCACUAAAGGAAGCCCCGGCUAACUCCGUGCCAGCAGCCGCGGUAAUACGGGGGGGGCAAGCGUUGUUCGGAAUUACUGGGCGUAAAGGGCUCGUAGGCGGCCAACUAAGUCGUAUGUGAAAUCCCCAGGCUCAACCUGGGAACUGCAUCCGAUACUGGAUGGCUUGAAUUCGGGAGAGGGAUGCAGAAUUCCAGGUGUAGCGGUGAAAUGCGUAGAUAUCUGGAGGAAUACCGGUGGCGAAGGCGGCAUCCUGGACCGACAUUGACGCUGAGGAGCGAAAGCUAGGGGAGCAAACGGG